UGAUAGAGGCGCGGCUGACAAAAGUAGCCCCCGACAAACGGCAGGAUACCGUGGGGAGCGAAAGGGGAGGCCGCCGAAGGGUCGAUUGGAUUCCUGUCCGGUCGGUGCCUGGGUCGUCGGGGAAUACCCGACGGACUGUCGCCCGAAAGGGCGGAGUGCUGUCA
rnacentral:ncRNA from 1 species